rnacentral:other from 1 species
UAGAUCCUGCCUUGUGCGUACGGAUUAUCUUGGUUUUGAUCCUAUUAUGUGACAUGGGAGCUAAAUGUCGAAUUAAUACAACAUGCCCUUACCAGAAUAAGGGAAGUUGGAACGUUCGAACUAGGUGCCCACCUGCGAGAGCGGGGUCAGAAACCUGGAGUCUUACGGCAAGUUGGGGAGGGG